GAGGUUAGAAAAUCUACCCUAGGGCGUGAGCCACCACGCUGGACUGAAAUAAUUAUAAAUUCACAGGAAUUUGGAGAGAUAGUAGAAAGGUACUGUAUGCCCUCCACCCAGUUUCCCCCAAUGGCUACAUCUUAUGUAACUAUAAUACAAUAUCAUAACCAGGAAAUUGAUAUUGGUACAAUGUGUGUGUGGUAGUUCUAUGCUGUUUUAUCGUGUUUAAAUCCUUACAGCCACCGUAGCUAUGAAGAUGCAGAACUAUUCCAUCAUCCUCAAAGAUCUCCCUCACCUACCAAUUUAUAUUCAUACUCAUACCUGCUUCACCCCCACCACUUCCCAACCCCUGGCAAUCACAAAUUCCUCCAUCUCUAUCAUUUUGUCAUUCUGAGAAUGUUAUAUAAAAGGAAUCAUACACUCUGUGACUUGUUAAGACUGGCUUUUUGUCAUUAGCCUAAUGCCCUUGAGACCCAUCCAAGUUGUUGCAUGUAUCAAUAGUCUGUUCCUUUUUAAAGCUGAGUAGUGUUUCAUUGUGUGUAUGUACCACAAUAUUUAACCAUUCACCUAUUACAGGACUUUAUGGUUGCUUCCAGAUUUUUGAUAUUACAAAUAAUUCCAUGAAUAAUCAUGUAGAGGUUUUGUGUGGACAUAUGUUUUUACUCCUCAGAGAUAAAUGCCCAGGAGUACAGUUUUGGGUUGUGUGGUAAUACAUAAUUACCUUUUUAAAAGCCUGUCAAACUAUUUUCUACAGUGGCUGUAACAUUUUACAUUCCCACAGCAAUGUAUGAAAGAGACAAUUUCUCCAUGAUCUCACCAGCAUUUGGUAUUAUUUGGUAAUAUUUUAUAACCAUUAUUUAGCUAUUCUAAUGAAUGUGUAGUAACCUUCAUUUGCAUUUCCCUAAUGCAAGUAAUGUUGAACUUUUUCUUUUCUUUUUUCUUUCUUUUUUUUCUGUUCUUUUCUUUUCCUGUUCUUUUCUUUUCUUUUAUUGAGACAGGGUCUCACUCUAUCCAUCACCCAGGCUGGAGUGCAGUGGCACGAUUAUGGAUCACUGCAGCCUUGAGUUCCCAGGCUCAAGUGAUCCUCUUGGGAGGGGGUUUCACCUUGUUGCCCAGGCUGGUCUUGAAUUCCCGGGCUCAAACAAUCCUCCCACCUCAGCUUCCCAAAGUGCUGGUAUUACAGGUGUGAGCCACUGUGCCCAGCCUUGAACAUCUUUUCAUGUGAUUAUGUGCCAUACAUAUAUUGUCUUUAAUGAAAUGUCUCUUUAUGUCUUUUGCCCACUUUUAAAUUGGGUUAUUUGAGGUUUUUCCAUUUUUUUUUAAUAUUCUGGAUAUGAGUUUUUUGUUAGGUAUGUGAUUUGCAAAUAUUUUCUCCAAGUGUAGCUUGUCUUUUUAUCAUCUUAACAAAUUGCGCCCCCUCCCCGUCCCCCUCUCCCUCUCCCUCUCCCCACGGUCUCCCUCUCUUUCCACGGUCUCCCUCUGAUGCCGAGCGGAAGCUGGACUGUACUGCCGCCAUCUCGGCUCACUGCAAUCUCCCUGCCUGAUUCUCCUGCCUCAGCCUGCCGAGUGUCUGCGAUUGCAGGCGCGCGCCACCACGCCUGACUGGUUUUCGUAUUUUUUUGGUGGAGAUGGGGUUUUGCUGUGUUGGCAGGGCUGGUCUCCAGCUCCUAACCGCGAGUGAUCCGCCAGCCUCGGCCUCCCGAGGUGCCGGGAUUGCAGACG
rnacentral:lncRNA from 1 species